rnacentral:rRNA from 2 species
UAGGGAAUCUUGGACAAUGGGCGAAAGCCUGAUCCAGCCAUGCCGCGUGUGUGAUGAAGGCCUUAGGGUUGUAAAGCACUUUCGCUAGGGAAGAUAAUGACGGUACCUAGAUAAGAAGCCCCGGCUAACUUCGUGCCAGCAGCCGCGGUAAUACGAAGGGGGCUAGCGUUGUUCGGAAUUACUGGGCGUAAAGCGCACGUAGGCGGCAGUCCAAGUUGGAGGUGAAAUCCCCUGGCUUAACCUGGGAACUGCCUCCAAAACUGGGAAGCUAGAGUCCGAGAGAGGUGAGUGGAAUUUCCAGUGUAGAGGUGAAAUUCGUAGAUAUUGGAAAGAACACCAGUGGCGAAGGCGGCUCACUGGCUCGGUACUGACGCUGAGGAGCGACAGCGUGGGGAGCAAACAGG